UGAAUGCACUAACUGUAAGUCGCUCUGCAUAAGAGUGUCUGCUAAAUGGCUAAAA
rfam:Salmo salar isolate Sally breed double haploid chromosome ssa20, whole genome shotgun sequence.